rfam:Halomonas sp. BC04 BC04_c218, whole genome shotgun sequence.
CACUGUCGCCAGGGGAGUCUCGCCGUGCAACCGGCGGGGCUGAGAGAGCCAAGCGCUGACCCUGGAACCUGAUCCGGUUCAUACCGGCGGAGGAAGUGCGACAUGCCCUACCU